CCUACGGGAGGCAGCAGUGGGGAAUUUUGGACAAUGGGCGAAAGCCUGAUCCAGCAAUGCCGCGUGAGUGAAGAAGGCCUUCGGGUUGUAAAGCUCUUUUGUCAGGGAAGAAACGGUGAGGGCUAAUAUCCCUUGCUAAUGACGGUACCUGAAGAAUAAGCACCGGCUAACUACGUGCCAGCAGCCGCGGUAAUACGUAGGGUGCAAGCGUUAAUCGGAAUUACUGGGCGUAAAGCGUGCGCAGGCGGUUUUGUAAGUCUGUCGUGAAAUCCCCGGGCUCAACCUGGGAAUUGCGAUGGAGACUGCAAGGCUAGAAUCUGGCAGAGGGGGGUAGAAUUCCACGUGUAGCAGUGAAAUGCGUAGAGAUGUGGAGGAACACCGAUGGCGAAGGCAGCCCCCUGGGUCAAGAUUGACGCUCAUGCACGAAAGCGUGGGGAGCAAACAGGAUUAGAUACCCUGGUAGUCCACGCCCUAAACGAUGUCUACUAGUUGUCGGGUUUUAAUUAACUUGGUAACGCAGCUAACGCGUGAAGUAGACCGCCUGGGGAUACGGUCGCAAGAUUAAAACNAAG
rnacentral:rRNA from 1 species